GGCAAGGUGGUUCAGUGGUUAAGGUGAUGGACUGCUAAUCCAUGGUGCUCUGCACAUGUGGGUUCGAAUCCCAUCCUUGUCA